rnacentral:rRNA from 1 species
AGCGAACGCUGGCGGCAGGCUUAACACAUGCAAGUCGAACGCACCUUUCGGGGUGAGUGGCCGACGGGUGAGUAACGCGUGGGAAGCUACCCUUCUCUACGGGAUAGCUCCGGGAAACUGGAAUUAAUACCGUAUACGUCCUGAUGGAGAAAGAUUUAUCGGGGAAGGAUGAGCCCGAGUGGGAUUAGCUAGUUGGUGGGGUAAAGGCAUACCAAGGCGACGAUCCAUAGCUGGUCUAAGAGGAUGAUCAGCCACACUGGGACUGGGACGCGGCCCAAACUCCUACGCGAGGGGGGAGUGGGGGAUAGAGGAAAAUGGGCGCAGGCCUGAUGCUGCCAGGCCGGGUGAGUGAUGAAGGCAGUAGAGUUGUAAAGCGCUUUCAGUGGGGACGAUAAUGACGGUACCCACAGAAGAAGCCCCGGCUAACUUCGUG